rfam:Schistosoma haematobium scaffold80_9, whole genome shotgun sequence.
GCACUGCUGAAGAGUCCUACAACAUGACGAAACGGUCGUUCAGUGC